rnacentral:lncRNA from 1 species
AUGAUUGAGCCUCAUGGCUCUGCUACUGGCAGACGUGGGCGUAAGACUCCUCGAGAGUCAGAUACUCUCGAGGAGCGAGAAAGAAAGAGGCUGCGAGAUAUCUUUGCAGAACCAUCUGACGAAGAGUCUUUUGAGGGGUUUACAGAGAGAAUGGAGGAAGAGCUGGUUAGCUCAGAAGAGGAUGAGAUGGAUUGGACUCGGGUAAGGGAGGAAUUGGGUGCCACUGGCAAUGAUGGGAUGGAAGAUGAUUGGGGACCUUCAGGACUAGACCCAUGGACAAGCUGGAGGGAUGGGACGGGAUCCACAGCUGGGGAUGCUGUAGGGCGUAGUCAGAGGUGUUCCAGUUCUGAUGAGGAAAGUGAUGAGGAAACGCCCGGGUUAAGGAGAACAGCUGAUAGUGAUGAGGAAACGCCCGGGUUAAGGAGAACAGCUGAUAGUGAUGAGGAAUUGUAACUGGCAUAAAAUGGGGCUUGGGAGCAAUAGCAAAUUGCGUUGGGCAAGGUAAUCUGGACAAACGCUUGGGAUCUGUGUGGGACGUUUUCCUGAAGACGGGUGUGUUUCGUGUGCUGAUUACGUAAGUUGUUUUGGAAUUUGGGUUCAGACGGCGGGAGGAAUUGUGUGGGCUUUUGUUUGUGCAAACCUCUGCUUAAUCUCAAUAGCUUUGACCUUCCGUCGUCUUCUUGACGGACGCCAUCUGCUACUCUGGAUUUACGGACUGAACUGACUACGGGCUCGGAUUCUCCUACUGGACUUGGGAAAACUGCAAACGUCUGCUUCUGCCUAUCGACCUUCGGAAAGAACUGGGACUACUCUACUGCUUCAAUCCUCGGCUGUUGUGUUUGUAUUGGAAAUUGCCUGCUGUGUGUAGGAGUGACUUCUAAGUUACUCAAAACAUAGUGCUGGCAGCAGAGAGGCAUCUGCUGCCAAUUAGUUACAUUCUUUUGAACUCUUUGUUUCCCAGCUUCUGUUUUGUUUGUUCCCAAGCUGAAGCAAGCUGUUUUGAUUUUACCCGGAUUAAACUCCGGUUUAAUCCGGUUUAUCUUUUGAACGUUUUUCUUGCCCCUUUUUGCUUUUUGAGGCUAAUGUUGCCUAGCCCUUGUCUUUUACGGGCAUUUUGAGUUCUGUAAAUCCAAUAAACUCUGUUAUCUUUGAUCUUGUGGCGUUCUGUCCUUGACAGUAUGUGCAUAGACAAGAUUUUUGCCUAGGUUAUUAUAGGGAGCACACAACGCCCCUAUUAAUGCAGCUCCAUUGUUGUUUAUUAUGUUUGUCUGUGUUUAAGUUGUUGUAUGUUGUUUGUAUGUUGUUUUGACAAUUGACUGUUUUGCACACAUGUUGGAAAACACCCUGAGUCCUCUCGAGGAGAUAAAUAAAUUAUUAUUAUUAUUAUUAUUAUUAUUAUUAUUAUUAUUAUUAUUUUAUC